rnacentral:lncRNA from 1 species
GUGGAUCAACAGUCCUGAGGGGGAAGCAGGAAUCCCAGAAGACGGAGGGUCAGGCUGGGGAAUGCAGUUCUGGAAGCUGAGAGCAGAGUGCCCAGUCCUUUCACAUCAGGUCUGGUCUUCUCUCGUCUGAGCCCUGAGUACUACGACCUGGCAAGAGCCCACCUGCGUGAUGAGGAGAAAUCCUGCCCGUGCCUGGCCCAGGAGGGCCCCCAGGGUGACCUGUUGACCAAAACACAGGAGCUGGGCCGUGACUACAGGACCUGUCUGACGAUAGUCCAAAAACUGAAGAAGAUGGUGGAUAAGCCCACCCAGAGAAGUGUUUCCAAUGCUGCGACCCGGGUGUGUAGGACGGGGAGGUCACGAUGGCGCGACGUCUGCAGAAAUUUCAUGAGGAGGUAUCAGUCUAGAGUUACCCAGGGCCUCGUGGCCGGAGAAACUGCCCAGCAGAUCUGUGAGGACCUCAGGUUGUGUAUACCUUCUACAGGUCCCCUCUGAGCCCUCUCACCUUGUCCUGUGGAAGAAGCACAGGCUCCUGUCCUCAGAUCCCGGGAACCUCAGCAACCUCUGCCGGCUCCUCGCUUCCUCGAUCCAGAAUCCACUCUCCAGUCUCCCUCCCCUGACUCCCUCUGCUGUCCUCCCCUCUCACGAGAAUAAAGUGUCAAGCAAGAUU